rnacentral:rRNA from 2 species
GUAGGGUCCCCUCAUUUUGUCGCCCGGAGGUUGGGAGCUUGGUCCCGGAUGUUAGCGGCGGACGGGUGAGUAACACGUGGGUAACCUGCCUGUAAGACUGGGAUAACUCCGGGAAACCGGAGCUAAUACCGGAUAGUUCCUUGAACCGCAUGGUUCAAGGAUGAAAGACGGUUUCGGCUGUCACUUACAGAUGGACCCGCGGCGCAUUAGCUAGUUGGUGAGGUAACGGCUCACCAAGGCGACGAUGCGUAGCCGACCUGAGAGGGUGAUCGGCCACACUGGGACUGAGACACGGCCCAGACUCCUACGGGAGGCAGCAGUAGGGAAUCUUCCGCAAUGGACGAAAGUCUGACGGAGCAACGCCGCGUGAGUGAUGAAGGUUUUCGGAUCGUAAAGCUCUGUUGUUAGGGAAGAACAAGUGCAAGAGUAACUGCUUGCACCUUGACGGUACCUAACCAGAAAGCCACGGCUAACUACGUGCCAGCAGCCGCGGUAAUACGUAGGUGGCAAGCGUUGUCCGGAAUUAUUGGGCGUAAAGGGCUCGCAGGCGGUUUCUUAAGUCUGAUGUGAAAGCCCCCGGCUCAACCGGGGAGGGUCAUUGGAAACUGGGAAACUUGAGUGCAGAAGAGGAGAGUGGAAUUCCACGUGUAGCGGUGAAAUGCGUAGAGAUGUGGAGGAACACCAGUGGCGAAGGCGACUCUCUGGUCUGUAACUGACGCUGAGGAGCGAAAGCGUGGGGAGCGAACAGGAUUAGAUACCCUGGUAGUCCACGCCGUAAACGAUGAGUGCUAAGUGUUAGGGGGUUUCCGCCCCUUAGUGCUGCAGCUAACGCAUUAAGCACUCCGCCUGGGGAGUACGGUCGCAAGACUGAAACUCAAAGGAAUUGACGGGGGCCCGCACAAGCGGUGGAGCAUGUGGGUUUAAUUCGAAGCAACGCGAAGAACCCUUACCAGGUCUUGACAUCCUCUGACACCCUAGAGAAUAGGCUUUCCCUUCGGGACAGGAGUGACAGUGGUGCAUGGUUGUCGUCAGCUCGUGUCGUGAGAUGUUGGGUAAGUCCCGCAACGAGCGCACCUUGAUCUAGUGCAGCAUUUCAGUGGCACUCUAAGGUGACUGCGUGAACAACCGGAAUAGUGGGUAUGACGUCAUCAUCAUGCCUUUAUGACUUGGCUACACACGUGACUACAAUGGACUGUGAC